rnacentral:tRNA from 1 species
GGCUGCUUAGCUCAGCUGGCUAGAGCAUACGCUUCAUACGUGUGAGGUCCGGGGUUCGAGUCCCUGAGCAGCCA